rnacentral:rRNA from 1 species
CAGCCGCCACGGGAAAACGAGGGGUGCAAGCGUUAUUCGGAUUGAUUGGGUGUAAAGGGUGUGCAGACGGCUUAUUAAGUCACUUGUUAAAUUCUUCGGCCUAACUGAAGGUCUGCAAGUGAUACUGAUGAGCUAGAGGGUGGAAGAGAGAAGUGGAAUUCUCGGAGUAGCGGUAAAAUGCGUAGAUCUCGAGAGGAACACCAAUGGCGAAGGCAGCUUCUUGGUCCAUUCCUGACGUUCAUACACGAAAGCGUGGGGAGCAAACAGGAUUAGAUACCCGCGUAGUCCCUGUCUCUUAUAA